UGAAAGAUUUCUACCUCUCCUAACACAUCUGCACCCACACUUUACAAACCUCUCCUCAUAGACUUCUCUUCAAUACCCCCAAUCCUUCCUUAGAGGGUCCCCAACCUCCAAGAGACAGUACUAGGGGAGAGUGCCUGUUUCCUUAAAGACAGAAAGCAUGGCAAAGUAAAGCCACUAGUGAAAUUUAAAUACAGAAUCUCUCCCUCUAUUGCCUUCUGGUUCUGUUCUCUUGAGAACAACCAUCCAUGCAGCCCAGCGUAAUAAUGAGCAGGUCCUGGCAGCUGUGAUAAUGGCCCUUGUGUUCUCUAGAAGGGGAAAAUGAGGUACAGAAAAAGAAUUAACUACACCUGCAUCUGUGAAAGGAAUCUAAAAGGCUGGGUGAUUCAUUCAAGUUCAGAAGAGUGCGUGCCAGAGAGGCAAUGCACCUACCUGCUGUCUCUUUCGACGGCGUGUAAAAAAGAAAAAACAUCUGACUCAAAUAGCUUAAACUUUAAAAGGGGCUUAUUAGCUCACCUAAUUUUAAAAGAUGAAA
rnacentral:lncRNA from 1 species